UACGAAGGGGGCUAGCGUUGUUCGGAAUUACUGGGCGUAAAGCGAACGUAGACGGGUCUUUAAGUCAGGGGUGAAAUCCUGGAGCUCAACUCCAGAACUGCCUUUGAUACUGAAGAUCUUGAGUUCGGGAGAGGUGAGUGGAACUGCGAGUGUAGAGGUGAAAUUCGUAGAUAUUCGCAAGAACACCAGUGGCGAAGGCGGCUCACUGGCCCGAUACUGACGCUGAGGCACGAAAGCGUGGGGAGCAAACAGG
rnacentral:rRNA from 1 species